GUGCUCGCUUUGGCAGCACAUAGACUAAAAUUGGAAUGAUACAGAGAAGAUUAGCAUGGCCCCGUGCACAGGGAUGACACUCAGAUUCGUAAAGCAUUCCAUAUUUUA
ensembl:snRNA U6 U6 spliceosomal RNA